UCGCCUCUUGAGUAAAAAUAAGAGGUCCAGCCUGCCCAGUGACUAAUAUUCAACGGCCGCGGUAUCCUAACCGUGCGAAGGUAGCGUAAUCACUUGUUCUUUAAAUGAGGACUAGUAUGAACGGCAUCACGAGGGUUAUACUGUCUCCUUUUUCCAAUCAGUGAAUCUAAUCUCCCCGUGAAGAAACAGGGAUAUAACUAUAAGACGAGAAGACCCUAUGGAGCUUUAAAUACCUCUUCAAACGUUGGAAACCCAUCAAGUUUAAAACUUACUCACAUUGACCCUGAACGCUAUGAAGACAACUUUUAGGUUGGGGUGACCGCGGAGAACAACACAACCUCCACGCUGAACUAGACUAUUAAGCCUGAGCCAAGAGCUACUGCUCAACGCACUAAAAAAUUAACAUCUAUUGACCCAAUACAUAAUUUGAUCAACGAACCAA
rnacentral:rRNA from 1 species